UGAGGAAUAUUGGUCAAUGGGCGAGAGCCUGCACCAGCCAAGUAGCGUGCAGGAUGACGGCCCUAUGGGUUGUAAACUGCUUUUAUGUGGGGAUAAAGUGCGUGACGUGUCAUGCAUUGCAGGUACCACAUGAAUAAGGACCGGCUAAUUCCGUGCCAGCAGCCGCGGUAAUACGGAAGGUCCGGGCGUUAUCCGGAUUUAUUGGGUUUAAAGGGAGCGUAGGCUGUCUAUUAAGCGUGUUGUGAAAUUUACCGGCUCAACCGGUGGCUUGCAGCGCGAACUGGUCGACUUGAGUAUGCAGGAAGUAGGCGGAAUUCAUGGUGUAGCGGUGAAAUUCUUAGAUAUCAUGACGAACUCCGAUUGCGCAGGCAGCUUACUGUAGCAUAACUGACGCUGAUGCUCGAAAGUGCGGGUAUCAAACAGG
rnacentral:rRNA from 1 species